UUUAAACACUUUUUAAAAUAUCAAUUGGAGGGCAAGUCUGGUGCCAGCAGCCGCGGUAAUUCCAGCUCCAGUAGCGUAUAUUAAAAUUGUUGCAGUUAAAAAGCUCGUAGUUGAAUUUCUGCUAUGAACAACCGGUCUGCUUUGAACAAAAGUGGUAUCUUGGUGUGUUUUUAGCAAUAAUGUCCUUUGAAAUGUUUUUUACUUUAUUGUAAAAAGCAAUAUUCAGGAUUUUUACUUUGAGAAAAUUAGAGUGUUUCAAGCAGACUAACGUUUUGAAUACUGCAGCAUGGAAUAAUAAAAUAGGAUUUUGGUUCUAUAUUGUUGGUUUUAAGAACUAAAUUAAUGAUUGAUAGGGACAGUUGGGGGCAUUUGUAUUUAACUGUCAGAGGUGAAAUUCUUAGAUUUGUUAAAGACAAACUACUGCGAAAGCAUUUGCCAAAGAUGUUUUCUUAAUC
rnacentral:rRNA from 1 species